rnacentral:rRNA from 1 species
GAUGAACGCUAGCUACAGGCUUAACACAUGCAAGUCGAGGGGUAACGAGAGGAAAGCUUGCUUUCCUUGUCGACGACCGGCGCACGGGUGAGUAACGCGUAUCCAACCUGCCCCCAACUAGGGAAUAACCUUGCGAAAGUAAGACUAAUACCCUAUAAUUUCCUCAGAUGUCAUCGGACGAGGAAUAAAGAUUUAUCGGUUGUGGAUGGGGAUGCGUCUGAUUAGCUUGUUGGCGGGGUAACGGCCCACCAAGGCAACGAUCAGUAGGGGUUCUGAGAGGAAGGUCCCCCACAUUGGAACUGAGACACGGUCCAAACUCCUACGGGAGGCAGCAGUGAGGAAUAUUGGUCAAUGGGCGGAAGCCUGAACCAGCCAAGUAGCGUGCAGGAUGACGGCCCUAUGGGUUGUAAACUGCUUUUAUACAGGAAUAAAGUUAGCCACGUGUGGUUAUUUGUAGGUACUGUAUGAAUAGGGACCGGCUAAUUCCGUGCCAGCCGCCGCGGUAA